CUUGAUUGAGUGUUGAAUAAAGUGGACCAGCUCCUUGUCGUUGUUGUUGUUGUUGUUUAUUCUUCUUCUAUUAUACAUUAUUGUUAUUUUCAGAGUAUUCCUGUCCUCCAUUAGGAUUAUAGGCUGGUACUGGUGGAGGAACUUCAUCAUCAUCACUAGCUCUAAGAACACUGUACUGACCUAGUGAAUAUUGUAUUAAUAAUAAUAUAAUAAUAUAAUAUAUAAUUACUGAGUCUAUACUUAAUACUGAUCACUAUAGAGCAUGUACUUAAACACAUUGCCUAUCAUGUCCUCUUGUCUAUCAUGUGCUAGUUGAUUGUAUCUUACAGUCAAACAUAUGAUACCCUGUGUAGGCUGUUGUCAGCUUAUUGUGUGUUACAUGUACAGUACAUAUGGUUGAUGUUAUGACAGGUAGAGGAAGGUAAAUGUUAUCUUAGCUAAUGUACACUAAAUGAUGACUGGAUGUAAGUAUGUGCUGGGUAUAUGGUGUAUGUGGAUUGAUUUAUUUAUUGUAUUAAAGUGAUGUGUGUACUAAUGUCAUUGUGUAGUGUAUGCAACACUUUUCUUAAGUAACCUG